CGCCAGCAGCCGCGGUAAUACGGAGGGGGCGAGCGUUGUUCGGAUUUACUGGGCGUAAAGGGUGUGUAGGCGGCUGGGCAAGUCUGGUGUGAAAUCUUCACCGCUCAACGGGAAGAGGUCACUGGAAACUGCCUAGCUCGAGUAUGGUAGAGGCAAGCGGAAUUCCUGGUGUAGCGGUGGAAUGUGUAGAUAUCAGGAAGAACACCGGUGGCGAAGGCGGCUUGCUGGGCCAUCACUGACGCUGAGACACGAAAGCGUGGGGAGCAAACGGGAUUAGAUACCCCGGUAGUCCACGCUGUAAACGGUGCGCACUAGGUGUGAGGGGUAUCGACCCCCCUUGUGCCGCAGUUAACACAUUAAGUGCGCCGCCUGGGGAGUACGGCCGCAAGGUUGAAACUUAAAGGAAUUGGCGGGGG
rnacentral:rRNA from 1 species